CCACUUGAUCAUCGACUUUUGUCACUUUUCGAUUCGAAUAUCUGCGCCUUUCGGUGACAAUCAGAAUCUUUUAGCGAGUAGUUAGAAUGCUGAAGUUGUACACUCAAUAAUAAUUAUGUUCAGGUACGAUUAUCAAAUGCUCAAUUGCUUGCUAAUUUGGUGGACUUCAUGCCAUACUUCAUUUCCCUGCGCAAGACACGUUCGGGACAUAUGUACAGAAUGAUAUGCUCCCAGUUCCGCAGCGAUAUCUCACGGUUGCAACGGCGCCCGCUCCCCUCUUUGGCUGAGCCCGCAAGUGUUUUAUGGACUGGUCGCACACUGAGACCAAAUCACCUCACCGACGUACUCCUCCACAUCGGGAUUAAUGGAGAAAUGCACAAUGGGGGUUGUGCAUUUUUCCACGGAAUAAUUUCCCGUCGGCGAAUCGCGGUUCACAGUGAUGACGCCCGGCACCGGUGCGGAGUCAACACCUUGUUUGGCCACCAAAAAGGCUUGCGGUGUCUUGUGCACCAGCCACAUGGAGGCGUCCACCGUGGAGGUCACUGGCAGAUUGCCGCAGUAGUACCAUUUGUAGUUGUUGGGGCAGAUGUGGUAGAUCGGCGGGAGUAUGUCGGAGGGCUCGCGGAUCUGGUCGUAGCGGAAAGCGGUGUGGUAGCUGGAGAAGACGGUGACGAGGCAGGAGAGCUCCUUUUCCGUGGUGAAGCCCACACGUCCCACGCCGCUGAGACCGGUGUUGAAGAUGGAUUCUACCUGGUCAAAGGUGAUCUGGUAGUUCUCCUUGAAGUUCACCUGGUAUAUGGUGGAUGCGUAGCCGCGGAUGAAGCAGACGAUGUAGACUGUCUGGAAAACGUGCUUACUCAACGUUUGGAUCAAUGGAACUGGAUAUGAGGAUAGUGCUGCUCGGACUCUGCGCGUUAGGAUCGGAGCUGGAUGCCCUCAGCGAUGUCGUUACUCCGCAGCUGGUGUAGUUGCCGUCCUCACCCGGUGGAAAUUUGUACCUGACUGCGCCACUACCGGUUAUCCAUAGCGCGCAAAAACCUGAAUUUGGAUACAACAAAACAAUAUCAAAAUGUGUCUCAGCGUGUGGGCCGUAUCAUGAAAUGUAUUUAACUUGACAUGGGGAUCCUGUUGCGUAAUAAUGUAUUGGAAAUGAACCAAGUGUGUCAAACAGCAACACAACCACCAGCAAAAGAAUCAAGCCAGCUGCAUGUCUCCGGAACUAAACGGUCAAUACCAGCGGUUUCCUCCUAAAGAACUCGGUGUCGCUGGAGAAUGACCGCUAUGGACUAAGGGUCAACAUUCCGUACCCGUAGCCUCUUUACUAUGACAAUUGUUGGCAUUUUUUUCUGGCCUGCGAUAAUUUGACCUAAUCCGAUGCCGAUCAAAAUCGGGAAUGACUGUGUAUGUGUAACUGUACAUUCGCAUAUGUACAGAUUGAUCUAAAACAUUAAUCCAUGCGUUCUAGAUUAACUAUAAAAACACAAUGCUGUGUUGACUCCCGUAAUAAAUUAGG